GACGAACGCUGGCGGCGUGCUUAACACAUGCAAGUCGAACGGAAAGGCCCUGCUUUUGUGGGGUGCUCGAGUGGCGAACGGGUGAGUAACACGUGAGUAACCUGCCCUUGACUUUGGGAUAACUUCAGGAGACUGGGGCUAAUACCGGAUAGGAGCUCCUGCUGCAUGGUGGGGGUUGGAAAGUUUCGGCGGUUGGGGAUGGACUCGCGGCUUAUCAGCUUGUUGGUGGGGUAGUGGCUUACCAAGGCUUUGACGGGUAGCCGGCCUGAGAGGGUGACCGGCCACAUUGGGAAUGGGAUACGGCCCAGACUCCUAGGGGGGGAAGCAGUGGGGAAUAUUGCAAAAGGGGCGGAAGCCGGAUGCAGCAACGCCGCGUGGGGGAUGAGGGCCUUGGGGUUGUAAACCGCUUUCGCCUGGGACGAAGCGGGAGUGGCGGUAAUGGGUAAAGAAGCACCGGCUAACUACGG
rnacentral:rRNA from 1 species